rnacentral:lncRNA from 1 species
UAUAAAUUUAAAAUAUUAACUAUGCUAUAUUCAUACAAUGGAAUAUCAUCCAACCAUUAAAAAUAAUAUUAUAAAUCUCUAUGUACUGAUAGUGAAAUAUAUCCACAAUCUUUUAAAUAAAACAAGUAAGUUGCAGAAUAUAUGAUAUGAUCCCUGCUGUGUAAAUGUGCAUGUUUAUGCAUAUAGAUGUGUAUAUUUAUAUAUGCAUAGAAAAUGUCCAGUGAGAUAUCCAUAAAAAUGUUACUAAUGUCUUUUUGUGAUUUAGAUUGUGUCAGGCAGAGGAAACAUUAUUCAUUCUUAAUGCACAUUUUAUUGCUUGGAUCAUAGUAUAAGGAGCAUAUAUAACUUGUGUAAUUAGGGAAAUAAAAUAUCUUAUUAAUUGGCUUCUAUGAUACUGCGUUUCCCCUCCUACUUUCCUGUCCAUGCUUUCUCAUUUGUCUUUAUUUUUCAGCUACAAAUCUAAAUCAUCAACACAAAUAUCUUCUGUAACUUCAGCCUAAUAUAUCUAACUACCACCAGCUGCAUCUACUUUUAUGUCCCACAGUAUUUCAAACUCACUUUUCCAAAACAGAAUCCUCUAUCUCUCUGUUUUUUCUCACCAAUAAAAGCAACCUGUACCAUUGUUUAGCUUUCCCUUCUUUUCCUUAUGAAUGAAGUCUCCAUCCCACCAGUUACCAAACUUAGACCUUGGGGUAAUAUCAUUAACCCUCCAUCUUCAUGACUGAGAAUAUCCAAUCACUAAAUCCUUUCUAUUUGACCUUCUGUAUCUUUUAACUUCAUUAAUUUUACUUUCUUGUACAGCUCCCCUUAUCAAAAAUGUUUAGCAUAUUUUACAUGACCAUUCAUUGUCUGGCCACUGAUUUACCUCUUGAGCCUUAUCUCUCAUGACUCUGUUCUUUGCACAGCCUGUUCCAUUUCCGUAAGUUUGGCAGAUAUGCCUUACAGGCUUCUGCAAAUGUUGUUUUCUGUUGGAAUGUCUUUCCUCACAUCCCUGCUUGGCCAACUCUUGCCUUACUCUUUUAGUUAACAAUUAAGACAUUCUUCCUGAAUCAUCCUGUGCCUAUUCUGUCUCUCUGUCUUAUAAGCAUUUAUUUAUUAAACUAGGUUUCUUAUUAGGAUAUCAUAUCUCCAUUGCCUAAGCUAGUGCCUGGUAAACUGUAGAUACUCAAUAGUUUUGUAUUAAGUGAUUAGUGAAUGAUAUAUGUCAUUUUCCUAAACAGGACCUGGCUUAUUAGAUGGGUUAAAUGAACGGCAAUUACUAAUUUUUGAAGCACUUAACAAAUCUACUCAUUGCUAAUCAUUAACAGGUAGGAGAAAACUUAUUUUCAUUGAGGAGUUUAUUGUGAUCCAGAAGCUCUUGUUGCCUCAAAAUAAAUAAAAUAGAAAAUUCAAGAGCAGUUUUAUUAAAGAGUAUAGGUACUCUACCACGGCCAAGUGAUUCACCUACUUUAGGGCAUCACUGCCUGACAGACCACAAGACCAUAUGGCUAUUAUCUUCACUACGACCUGCUGUAACCCCAGAGAAAUAUCUCCCUUUGUUAAUGUGUUCAGUUAAAUGCUUUAAGUAGGUAGUGGCGCUCACCCUGCAUUUGAUGCCACUGAUGAGCAGAAGUUUUGGGCAAAACACUAGAAGUGUCACCUUGCUCUGAUAGGAGCUAAUGGGCAGAUCGCAGAUACAGACAAGUCCCCAGUUUUCAUGGAGUUCUUCAGAAUACAUGCUUCCUUCUCUGGGCACAGCAGGGCACACCAAGGAAAUUUGUUCCAGGAAAGUUACCUACUGCUUUGGUGUUCUUAUUUUAUGAGAGAUGAUUAUGAAAGUGACCUCAAAAAUGGGGGGAAACAGUAUGAGUUUGGAAAGAUAGUCUGAAUCAGGAUAUCAGCUAGUAAGGGAGUAAUGAGAAUGCCAAUUGCCUCCUCCCAACUGGACACAUUGAAAGAAGUUGAGAUCCUUCAAAGCUGGAAGGACCCUUUGCUGGAAGAGGAGGAAAAUCCUGGCCCCAGCUAGUUCAUUGCCGGGCUGUUUCAGGAGACUACCUGGAUCAAUCAUCAAACAAACUUGUUUUCCCAUGAAGAUUAAAGCCUGUAUAAAAUAUCAACAAACAAAAGACAAAUAAUCUAUGGAUAUGUGUGUAUAAAAACAUAAUAUUUAUGCAUAAAGAAGUUAUGGAGGGAUGCAUAUCAAACUUUGGUAUUAAAAGUGGCAGAGAUGGGGGAUAUGUAAUGCUUUUUUCAUAUAUCUAUGUAAAUUUGCUUUCCAGGUGCAUCAGUGUGUAUACAGAAGUUAGUUCUGUAUUCAUACGGUAGCUAUUCUUUCUCUAUUGCUUUUUUUCAGAUUUUAGUGCUUGAAUAAUUUUAUUUACUCUUGCAUUAGAAAACAAAGUAAAUGAUGGAAAGGAAAAACAAAAGACCAACAUCAGUAUUAAUCGUGUCUUCAUUUUACCCUGAAAAGAUAACAGAUUAUUGAUCCCCAGAGAUUCAAGUCCUGGCUUGAAUGCCCUUUCUAUUGCAGAUGCAAUUAGGAAGUCUAUUCAGUUCAAUUUAAUAGUCCUUUCAAGUAAGUUACCUGACUUAAAACACCCAACAUUUGGUGAGCACCUAAAUGUGCUUUGAGAAAUAAAGAGAAAGAAAACACUCCCGCCACUCUCAAGGAGCUCCCAAAGAGCUCUAUAUAUCAUCUGAAAAACCUUUGAGGAACAUUUUCCAAUAUUUUUUACUUAGAAAUCUAAAGACAUAUACCUUUCCCCAUACAUGUGAAUUAUCCAACUUUUUAAAAAAUCAUGAAUAGAUACACCCCAAACUCAAAGAAGAAUGUGAGACUUGUAACUGAAAGUGGAAAGUGGCACUAUAAAAUAAUUAUGAUUCUUUAUUUCUGAUGGGUGUCUACAAAAGUGUGGGCAGUCUAGUUAUGACCACAGGUCUUCAUUAGUUUCAGUUAUUUAAGCUCUGUACUAGUUCAGUCCAUUUAAGUGUCAUCUAGGAUGCUGACACAGAAUCAAAAUAAUGACAAUGAAGGAACCAAGAGGAAUAAAACGGCAGUAAUCUGCUUUUUCGAUCCAAUCAAGCCACGGAGUUGAGAGUUACAAAUAAAUUAAUUUGGCAUUUUCUUUUUCAGAACCUGAAUCACUUGCAUCUCAGCUCCACACUAUAAAGACCAUUUGUUAUUACUGUGCUUUGGACUUGUUUUAUAAUUUCACCAUCUGUUGAAUGUUAAAUACUGUAUAUCUUCACUUGGUUUUCAACAUUGUAAUGACAGCCUCACUAUCUGAUUGGCAAGGAGGAUUUCCACAAGCAUGUAUUCACUUCUAUAAUUGGGAUACAUGAUACUCAACUAAUGUACUUGAAAGUUCUCUGACGAUGUCUUUGUGCUCAAUCUUACGUAAGUUCAAAAUGCUAAAAUAAUUUUCAAGUGGCUAUGUUUCAAUAUUUUCAACAACUUUUUCCAUUUUUUGGCCAGUGUUUACAAGGUUCUUGGGUUUUAAAAAAUUUCCCUCAUGUCAUCAUACAAUUGAUUAAAAUACUAACCAACCUAACUCACCAGAUUCCUAGAAAAAAAAAAUUAAAGACUAGAAAUCUAGCAUCUAAAAUAAUAAAUAUAAUUUGCUUUUCCCUGACCUUUUCUUAUAUAAAUUCAAUUUCUUUGUGUCCUCUGUGUGCUGCUUCUACCAAUUACACCUUUGC